rnacentral:lncRNA from 1 species
UGCCGCAGAAGUAAAAUUGUAUUGCACAUAUUUCAAGUAUUAAUUGUCGCUACAUAAAAAAGAGAACCAUUCUCAAGGUUAAUUCUGCAUGUAACACUAAACAAGAAAUGACUUAAACAGCAAUGACAUGAAAAGUUUAUCAAGAGUACAGGUAGUAUGAUUUAUAUUCCACAUCAAGCACGGGCCAUCUUGUUACUACACGAUGAACACUCUUACUGCUUUGAUAUGCUCAGCUCUAGCUGGUGUAAUCUUCACGCACUUACCCUGGAACCACUUAUCACAUACAUCACAGCAUAUCCAAAAUUCAUCUUACGCAUAAUUCUCUCCACAGGCACCAUAAAGAGACUCACCUUGUUCCUCGUCCAAGCCCUUACUUAAGUCCAAAAAAGAUUUCAUACCAAGAAGUCGAGUUAAUUGCUUGAAGAGACUUAACUAUACCUGCAAAGUAAAAUUCCAACUUACAUUAUGUAAAGCACUAAAACAAGUACAUAUAUCAAUUUUUUACUGACGUUUAUGACAGAAAAUCACUUCACCAGCAAUAAUUUCUAUUGCACUAGUUACAUAAACUCGAUAACGACUAACUCCAAGACAGAGACAAGCAGAAUCAUCCAGAGGUAUGGAUUGUGGUAUACCAUGAAACUCUUGCAAGGAAAUUUUCUGGCAAUAAUGAGACAUGUUUUUAUUUUUUGCUUAACUGAUAUCAAAUGUAAAAGACCAUCUGGUGUCAAUAACUUCAAAAUUUCUCAAGGCUGAUGAAUCUUUUGCGAGCAGUUGAAAAUCUGUAAUAGAACGAACGGGAACCAGCACCAGAACUUUUGUCAUCAACCCAUAAAUGAUGAAGAAAGAAACUUAAAGUUAAAAUAUCUAUUCAGUAAAAAGAAUCAUAACUGAAAAUUCUGCAAAAUUCGAAAGAAG